AAACAUGGUUUUUAGAAAUUAUUAAAAAUCUAGCCUGCUCAAUGCUUAGUAAAUAGCCGCAGUAUUUUGACUGUGCAAAGGUAGCAUAAUCACUUGUCUUUUAAUUGAAGACUGGAAUGAAAGGUUUGACUAAAUAUUCUUGUCUUAUAAUAAUAUUUUGAAAUUUAUAAUUUAGUAAAAAAGCUAAAAUUAUUUAUAGGGACGAGAAGACCCUAUCAAGUUUUACAAUCAAAAAUUUAUUUUCAAAAUAAAUUAAAAAUUGUUUUGCUGGGGCAGCAGAUAAAAAUUUUUUAUUUAAAAAUUAUGACAAAUAAAUCUUGAAAAAUCAAAAAUUUUUUAAUUAAGAAUAAAUUACUGUAGGGAUAACAGCAUAAUUUUUUUAAAGAGUUCUUAUCAUCAGAAAAGUUUGUGACCUCGAUGUUGGAUUAAAAUUCCUAAUUCGUGCAAUAAUGAAAUAAGGAAGUCUGUUCGACUUUUAAAAUUUUCCAUGAUCUGA
rnacentral:rRNA from 1 species